rnacentral:lncRNA from 1 species
CCUUAGCAAAAGUGUUAUUUCUAAAAUGGUAAAAAUCAGAAUUAGUACAUAAUAGAAGUUUGUAGAUAUAACAGAACAUGUUUAGAACAGAGAAUUUGUCCAAUUUGCAAGGAUGGAAUUGAAGAUGAGUUCAAUUUCCUCAUUCAAUGUAAAGCGUUAGAACUUAAUAGAAAUGUACUCUUUUGUAAUUUAAGUGAUAUAGUUCCAUCUUUUGUUAAUAUGUGUGAACAAGAUAAGUUAAGUUUCAUUUCGAAAAGUAAUGAUACGGACAUUAGUACUGUAUGUGUAGCUGGAAUAAGCAAUAUGUAUGAUUUGAACAUUCAUUUAAAGCAAACAUAAUGUUGUUAAGACCUUUUAUAGUAUUAAAGCUUAUUGUAAUAGCUUGAAUUAAUAAUAU